CCGACGUUGGGCGCGAGCAGGACAGAAGAUAUGUGAGGCAGUCGCCUGACCUGCUGAUGGAGAAGAAGAGCAAGGGGCGGGCCGGCGCUGCCACGAAAUCGUUGGGGACUGCUGCGAGGAGGAGCACGCGAUCUCCUGUCCUACUUUGUCACCGAGGACGCAGGCCGGCAGCCCGAGAACCUGCCCUCCUCCUCCUCUUCUUCAAAUGAGACCAGCAGGAAGUGGCAGCGCGUGGUGGUGGUCCUCAGCAAUGAAGAGAGGGAGACGGGAUGGUUGCUUUAGGAUUUGAUGCGGUUGUCAUGAGCCUCCAAUCCAUUUGCCUCCUUACUGCCAAUUUGGUCAUGAUUCUCGAUUUCCCCCCUUUUGAUUCGGUAAGAGUUAACAUGUCGCCGCUGUACUGCAAGAGUCCCUGCAUCCAGAGCCGUUUUGGACAGUGGCCAGGAGGAGUAGGUGGAUCGAAGUGGAGCAAGGACCAAGAAAUCCUAAGUGGUAGAAAAGUAUGGUCUUAAGGUUGGUACAUUCAAUUAAUUUUUAUACAAUGAUUAUUACUCAGCAAAACAACAUAUUUCUAUUGAUAUUUGAGGCACUCUUAUUAUCAGUGUAAAGGAAGCUAAAAGAAUGCCUUGCAUAGGUUGUAGUUCUUAAUUUCUCUUGGUUAUUUAUAUGUAUAUACUAAAGAAGAUAGCACAAGAUGCUUGUGCAACCUUUUUUUUUCUUUGGUUUUAGCUUUGAAUCUUUCUGGGUCUAAGCUAGAUCGUUUUGUUUGUUGUUGCACUUAAAAAGUAAGAAGUCAUUAAAAAAAUGGGUCUCACAAUUGGUUGUACACUGCGCAACAGAAUUGGGUUUAUUUUGUUUUUGCAAUUCAUGCAGAUACUUUAGGCCUUUUUAUUUAUUUUGGAAAUGUCCACAUCCGUGCAAGUCUUGGUGGUGCCGUGCUACACCUUUGCUUUGGUGUUGAUUUCGUUAAGGCAUAUUAAAAAAUAUGUGUUGCUCGCAAGGGUACUGUGACAUCUCUAUCUUCAAAAGAUUCAAGUCCACCAGGCUUAUAUUCUUAUGACUGAAACUGGGAAUCUUUUACAGGACAAUCAUGUGUACUUUACUUCAGUACCAAAGAUUCAUGGAUCAUAAAGGAACUUCUGCAGUUCAUGGCAAGGUAAGCAUGGUUUAAGCAACCCAUUAUUUAGCAUUCGGAUAUUGCAUUCACCUUUCUUCAGAUCAUAAUAUUUCUCAGUUAACAUCACUGGAAUUGUAUUCUUAUAUUUUGUGAUUAUUAGCUAUCAUAAAAUUUACUAAUUUGCCAAAUCCAUAUAAUAGAUGGUGCCCAAUUUGGCUUCCAUUAGUUCAGUA